GGUCCAGUGGCUUAUGUGCUUUUGGGUUUGUACCCGAGCACGGCGACGCUUGGUUAAAGCGCUCGGCUGAUAACCGAGAGAUCGUGGGUCCGAAUCCCACCUGGACCA
rnacentral:tRNA from 1 species